rnacentral:lncRNA from 1 species
AGCGCAAGAAAUAUCAACAGGCACUUUACAAUCUAAGGUUGAUGGUGCUAGAGCCAAAAGCUCUCAAUGAAUUUCUGCGUCUAUACACCCUAUAUGUCCAUAUGGGGGAAGUGGAAGAUCAGACGGCCAUGGACCUUUUCUUUCCAAAGCUUCCAAGUCCAUGGAGGGAAAUGCUCAUCAAUGAGUAUGUUUCACCAGGAGGAUAUCCACUUGACAGUGCUUCGAGGAG